UGAGUUCUGCUCUUGGUCUCACUUUACCC
rnacentral:piRNA from 1 species